rnacentral:rRNA from 1 species
UACUUGGUGUGAAUUGCAGAAUCCCGUGAACCAUCGAGUCUUUGAACGCAAGUUGCGCCCGAAGCCUUCCGGCCGAGGGCACGCCUGCCUGGGCGUCACGCAUC